rnacentral:lncRNA from 1 species
AGACCCGGAUGAGUCCUAGUCCCCGCCACACACAGGUCGUGGGUUCUCCUUUGAGAGUGACCACUGGUUCCUAGAGCUUUUCCUAAACUGGAGACGGAUCCUGCCCUGGGGGUCUCAGUCACCGCGAGGACUCGAGGGUAACUGCCAGAGGUCCCAGGUGGCCCGAGGUGAUGCCGGGCGCAGGGAGGGGCUGGGGCGGAGAGAGGGCUGGGGUUUGGGGCCGUGUCGGGGAUGAGUGGUGAGGGGUGCCCAGAAGGGGGAGGCAGAGGUUGGUGUGGCCACGGUGGAAGGAGCCACAAACGUGGACAUGUAAAGGAGGACCAAAAGGUUUUUUUUUGUAAAGAUCAAUAUUUAGGACAGAAAUCACAACCUUUCUAUAAAACAAAACAACUGUAUAAUUUAAAAAUUGAAUUGUGAGCUAAACGCAUAUGAGGGGUUACGGGUUUUCAAAAUUCAGAGAUUAGGAGCAAAACCAAAAACUUGUAGCCCGCUUCCCUGUGAGCCUCUUCUCCAGCCCAGCCCGGCUGCAGGACUCUGGGGCUGCCUUGAGGACGGGGUGCUAUUUCUCAGGUUUCGUCUGCAAAGGGGUAAGUCACCCCAAACCAGAGCACUCAGUGGUGGACUUACAGCCAAUCCUGAGCUUCUCAAGACACUAGAGUGCACCCCAGCCUGCCUGCCCCCGAGGCCUGGCACCAGCCAGUGCGGCAAACCAGCAGGCAGGGCACUGAAUGUCGUCUGAGCUGCAGGGCCCUUCCUGGGGCUGGGGGUCCAGGCCAGAGCCUCUGUGCUGUGUGUGUGUCCUUACUGUCCACGCCCGAGCCUCAUUUAUAUGGAGAACACAUUUCUUCUCAGAAAAGCAAACCUCAAGCAGUUGAACUGGAGAAUGAGGACAGAAGGGCUUAUGCAGAGCCGGGAUAUUUUUUACACAAAAUCAGAGGAGGGCGACCUUCAAACUAUUAUUUGUUUUUCUCCUUUGGCCUGGAACUAAUCAGCUUAGCAUGGAUGCCUGGGUGUCCCGGUGAGAUAGCGAACCCAUCUCAUUUGGGUGUUUACCUUUUAUAAAAGAAAAAAAAAUCCAUUUCUUAUGAGUACAUUGUUAUUUAUUCUAGAACUUCCCUCAUAAACCGUCAGUUCAUGCUAUGUAAUCCUAUAAAGUAGUUUAUUUUUAAAAAUCGUUGAAAGGAUAAGCAGAAGAUCGCCUCUUCCUGGCAUGUGUCAAAUUGCUUUAUAUGUAGCUAUUCUAGAGCAAAAAUGCUGACUGUCCGUUGAAUAUUGUCACUUGCCAAGCAGAGAGCUGCGCACCCCUUUCACCCAUCUGUGGGUCAGUAUGCAGUGUAUUUGGGGAUAUGACACAGUUUCUUAUCGCUUCCCAUCACCUGUCCUGUGUGAAUUGAGGCGGAAGUAAUCUCUUGAGGAUGACCUGUCUGUGUUUAAAUUGAAGAUGAAUAUUGCCAUGGACAAAUCUGAUUUGAUCAUUGAAGGGACAAGCCUCUGUUUUAGAAUUCAUUGUGUUGUCACUCAGUUUUGCUGUGAUUGCCUCCUUGGUGCCUCCUCUUUCUGCGACAAAACCGAGGGAAAAAAUAGGUGGGGGGAACUGUGCUGCAGGUACUUUUAAGUGGAUUCAAUUUACCUCUGUUUAAGUAGUAGAGAAAUAUGUUUGGGCCCUGGAGAGAAAAAUGCCCUGGAUAAUUUGCUUAUAAACCAGGCGCAUGCCUGGAGUGACCAGUGAGUGUGGCAGCAGCCAGGAGGGGCCACCCUGUUGUCCCUGCCUCAGGGCAGGCUCUCCCACCCCAGCUCCUUGGUGGUUCAGGUGACCUUGUGCAUCCCUCAUGUCAAGCCCUUGCCCAGGCAAGCAGGGGUGGGGCUGGAGCCCUGGGAUUCACACAGGGCACGCCGUGCACCAUGAGGUCAGUGACAUCAUAACAGAAGCCUGGCUUCUCAGACCCAUCCAGCCCCAGGAAUCCUGAAAGUGGGCAGACCUUCAGGGCACUGGGACAAUUUGGAGGGAAGGGAGGGGCUAUCUCAAGGAACCCUGCAGUGCAUGUACCUCUCAGGGAGAAACGGGUGACAGUGGAAGCGCCCUGGUCUGGGGAUCAAGGUACCUGGGCUUAAAGCUUUGCUCCCAUAUACCUCAGUCAGCCUCCUCCUCUGCAAAACAAAGACAGUAAAGCCUGGCCACCCACCCCUUGCUUGGUCUUCAGGGUGUCAAGAUGGAACUCACACUUUGAGUCUUGGCUGGGAUGGCGUUUGGGCUGGAUAAAGGAAGUACAGUGAAAGUAGAAGUGGUAGUCAGACCGAUGUGCAGCUGGGUUUGCUCUGCUGGGCAGUGAGAAGCAAGUGCUGAGUGACUGCCACCCAGAGGAACAUGGCUGUCAGGCCCUGUGACCCAGCACCUCUCCACCCUGGAUGUAAACUGCUGAGAAUCAAGGGGUGGGGCUCCCAGGAAUGAGGCCAUGGCAGAUGAGGAGGUCUGGAGUGUCUAGCCUAGUGCAAGCUAUUUGUUUCCCAGACAAAUAGCUCAGUGGAGCAGAAUAGAGAGCCCAGAAGUAGACCCAUAUAAAUAUAGUCAACUGAUGUUUGCCAAAAGUACAAAGGCAAUAAAAUGGACAAAAGAUAGUGUUUUCAACAAAUGGCGCUCGAUGUUCACAUGAAAAAAUAAAAGCAUGUAAACACAAAUCAUAAACCCUUCACAACAGCUAACUCUAAAUAGAUCACAGAAACUACAAACGACAAAAUUUCUAGAAAGUGACAUUAGAGAAAACCUAGAUGGCUUGGGUUUGGUGAUGACUUUUUAGGUACAACACCAAAGGCAACAUCUAUGAAGGAAACAAUAGGCUGGACUUCAUUAAAAUUAAAAACUGCUCUGCAAAAGAUAAAGCCAAGAGGCUGAAAAGACAGGUCAUAGACUGGGAGAAUAUGUUUGCAAAAGACACAUCUUAUAAAGGGUCAUUAUCUAAAAUCAAUAAAGACUCUUAAAGCUCAACAAUAAGAAAAUGAUCUGAUUUUUUAAAUGGGCAAAAUAAUUUAAGAGAUUCCUCACCCAAGAAGAUAUACAGAUGGCAAAUAAGCAUAUGAAAAGAUGCUCCAAAUCUUAUGAGGGAAGUGCAAAUUAAAACAAGAAUGAGAUGCCACUACACAUCUAUUAGAAUGGCGAAAAUCCAGAACACUGACAACACCAAAUGCUGGUGAGGAUGUGGAGCAACAGGAACGCUCAUUCAUUGCUGGUAGGAAUGCGAAUGGUACAGCCACUUUGGAGGACCGUUUGACAGUUUCUUACAAAACUAAAUAUAAUCUUACCAUAUGGUCCAGCAGUUGCGCUCCAAAGAAGCUGAAAACUUAGGUCCACACAAAACCUGCUCACGGAUGUUUAUAGCAGCUUUAUUCAUUAUUGCCAAACUUGGAAGCAACCAAGAUGUCCUUCCUUCAGUAAGUGAAUGGAUAAAUGAAACGUGGCACAUUUGGGCAAUGGAAUAUCAGUCAGUGCUGUAAAGAAAUUAGCUAGCAAGUAAUGAAAAGAUGUAGAGGAACCUUAAAUGCAUGUUACUAGGUGAAAUAAGUCUAUCUGAAAAGGCUAUAUAUUGUAUGAUUCCAACUAUAUGACAUUUUGAAAAAAGUCAAAACUGUGGAAACAGUAAAAAGACUAGCAGGAGUCAGGCAUUUGAGAGCAGGAGGAGUGAAUAGGCAUAG